AACCUCAUAGCCAUGUGUUGAAGGGAUUCUUUGGAGUUUAAAUAAAUGUAAGAAAAGCAAAGCCUGUUAAAAAUAUUUGCCAUUUUUCAUACUUUCUAAGGCGUAAGCAAAUAGGAAGUAACAUUUGCUACCCAAUGUAAUCAGUCUCAAACUGGAGGUAAUCUUAAGCUUCCCUCUAAAUUUGAGCUCCUGUGACUAUGUUAAAAUCAGUAAUUAUUAAAGUGACCUAAUUUUUAUAUUUUCUAUUUGAAAGCCAUCUUGAUUCCUCUAAAAAUAAAAUUAUAGUUUGUCUCAGUAAAAAUCAGAAUUAAUUGAACUUAUAUCUCAUGUUCACAGUAUAGUUAUUUUAAUAAUACAAAUACAUUCUCAUAUGCAAAUCAUACCAGUAAUAUAUAACUCAUAAAAAAAUAUGAUGAUUCAUAUUUUCCUUUUUUUUUUUUACUGUGGAUUUUUUCCCCUAAAUCAAAGUCUAUAUUUAUCGUUUAAUAUUUUAUAAAUUAAUUUAAUUAAACAUAAUUCUAUAACUUAAGUAUUUUGGCAAUAUUGAAACUUUCCGGUGAGCUUUUUAUGAAAGUUUUUUUUUUUUAUAUUUAAUUUUUUUUUUUAAAUUAGAGGCAACUUCCUCCAUUUUGGCCCAUUCUAUUGGCAAUACACACACACAUACAGAUAUGUACAUACAUACAUACAUACAUACAUACAUACACAUGCACAUAGAUAUAUGUGUGUGUAUGUAUAAUUCUAUGUUUUUUUAAAUUUGAACCCUAUCCAAAACCUUGAGUUUUCUGCUAGUAGAGUGAAUCUACUGCUUUCUUCAGUUGUAUAGAAUCUGACUGUUGGCAAGAAUACAGUAUGACUAACUGACUCAUAUUGUGAAGUCUGGAAAAUUCAUUCAGAUUUUUCAUAUGUAAAACAGACAUAUUUAAGGCAUAAUAUUUUAAUUAAUCAGACAGUAGUUUAUAAGUGCAAGAUUUGUCAUCUCUAGUCUGAAAUGAUUAAUUUUUAGCAAUUUGCGUUUAUCUGGAAAAACCAAAAAUCAGAUGAACUUUCAACAUAUUAUGCUCUAUUAUUAAGGAAAAAAAAAAAGGUACUGCCCAUCCAACCUGAGAAAUAUGUGCUGUAUAUGGAGAAUCUCUGUUAAAUGAAAGCUUUUUGCAGAAGUGCUAUACAGUUUGGGACAUUUCAGAUGCCAAGCGGAAGACCAUUCUAGGCAGCCAUCAACUGUUGAUGACAACAGAAUGAUGCCUGCUAGCAAUGAAAACCCACAUUAUACUGUUAGAGAGAUGGUUAUAAUAUGGGGUUUGUCAAUAAUUGUUUUUCAGCAGUUGAAGAAAUAGGGGUACAAUAGGCCACUACAGAUUUUGGGUUCCAUUUGAUCUGACGAGAAAAGAAUUUAAUGGAAUGAAUAUCUAAUGCCUUGAGAUCUCACAUAUUUUAAAGGAAAUUGUAAAAGAUGAUAAUAAAGGGAUCAUGAAUUUCAAAAGUGUAAGGGAAAGAUUUUGGAUUAAACAAGGGACAGCAAGUCUAACCAUUCCUAGAACAGGUCUUAUUACCCUAAAAUGUGAUGAUGUAUAUCUAAUGGAAUUGGAAUGGUUUACUAUAUUACAAGCUUUUAACCAAAAAAAAAAAAAAAAUGAUACCAAUUUUUUUUGUGUGUGCAUAUGUGUGUAUGUAUAUUCUGUUCAACAUAUAAUAUAUAUACUGCUCACAAAUAGUUGGAUCAACUGAACUCAGAGGCCCAACAGAGAUGUCCAACAUUAACAAGCAGAAAAGAUAAAAGAUGUUUUACCUCACGUUAGACAUCGAUAAAAUUGACCAAAUUUUUUUAUGGGAAAUACUGUCUCAUCUUCCAUAAGCAUCGGAUGUUACACCUUCAGACUUACAUUUAUUCCAUUCACUGCAAAAUUCUCUUUAUCGUAGCAUCAAACGAUGAUAUCAAAAACCAUGUGGACGAUUUCUUUUUCUGCAGGAAGCUACACAGAAAUUCUAAUCAGAAAAUAUAUUAAGGUUGCCAAAACAGUGGAGGAAGAUUGUUGAAGAAAAAGGGUUCAUAUAUUGCUUAAUUCAAACAUUAUUCCUUAAAUGUGUUUGUUUUACAUAUUAUGAAUAAUGCUAAUGAAUUUUCCGGACGUUAAUAGAAAUAUUUUUUUCUUUUAUUCAUUAAGAUAUAUCGUGUAUUUCUAAUUUGUCUUGUAGAAAUUGUGCAGUCGUCCUGCAACUUUUAAAUCCUCUCAUCAUAAAUCCAGAAUUGUAAAUUCACCCUUUUGUGGACCAUAUUUCUAAGAAAAUGCACUGCCUAUCAAACUUAUUUCAAUUAAUUUUGAAAAGAGUCAACAAUUCAAAGAGGUGAGUGUGGGGUGGGAAAAGACGCAUAAAUAAAAAAAACUUUUUUCAUUAUUAAUGUAAUAUUUCCAACAAAGUUUGAUGUAUUUACUUAAGAUCCUUAUCUAAAAUAACGAUGGAGUGUUUUGUAUUAAAGAACCAGAUGUGGUCUCAGGCAAAACGCUACAGAAAGGGUUAAUGCACGAUGUUGUACUUUUGACUUUUUCUCUUUCCAUGUCUCUGCUUAUAUAUUUUGUUUAUCCCAGUAAAAAAUAUACCUCCAUGUUAACCCCUUCCUACUUUUUUUCCACAAUAUGAUGUAUGACUUAAUAUUAUUAUUAUUAUUAUUAUUAUUAUUAUCAUUAUUAUGAUUAUUAUCAUUUAUCAAGCUACUAAAAUACUCUUUGUCUAGCUGCUGUUUCGAAUUACAGUUUCUUCCAGAAGAAUUACACAAACUAA